rnacentral:tRNA from 2 species
GCGGACGUGGCGAAACUGGUAGACGCAAGAGACUUAAAAUCUUUCGGAGCAAUCCGUGCGGGUUCGAGCCCCGCCGUCCGCACCA